rnacentral:rRNA from 1 species
AUGAUCAGCAGGAUCCUGAAGAGGGUCUGCGGCUUGUACCCUCAGUACAUCGGCGUUGAUGUCGAGUAUACCAGGGAAGACGAACCUCCGCAGAGGGCAGCAGUUCUACAGUUAUGUGUGGAGGAACUCUGUCUUGUAUACCACAUCACCGCGGCAACAAAAUUGCCCAAGAGCCUGCGCCCGUUCCUAAUGGAGGACAGGUUCUACACCUUUGCUGGCUUCAGUAUUGAAGGUGACAAAGAGAUGCUGCGAAGAUCUGGUUUGGAGAUCAACCCCGACAAGUACAUCGACAUCCAGCGCAAAUGGGGAAUGAAGAAUAACAUUGACAGGGUUGAAGACCAUAAACUGUGGGGGAUCAGCCCACUGCCAAAUUACCUCAUCGAGUAUGCAGCGAUAGAUGCGUACGCCACCUACGAGUCGUGGAAGAGAAUU